rnacentral:rRNA from 1 species
UACAGAGGUCUCAAGCGUUGUUCGGAUUCAUUGGGCGUAAAGGGUGCGUAGGCGGCGCGGUAAGUCGGGUGUGAAAUCUCGGAGCUUAACUCCGAAACUGCAUUCGAUACUGCCGUGCUUGAGGACUGGAGAGGAGACUGGAAUUUACGGUGUAGCGGUGAAAAUGCGUAGAUAUCGUAAGGAAGACCAGUGGCGAAGGCGGGUCUCUGGACAGUUCCUGAUGCUGAGGCACGAAGGUCAGGGGGAGCAAAACGGG